UACGAAGGGGGCUAGCGUUGUUCGGAUUUACUGGGCGUAAAGCGCACGUAGGCGGAUAUUUAAGUCAGAGGUGAAAUCCCAGGGCUCAACCGUGGAAUUGCCUUUGAUACUGGAUAUCUAGAGUAUGGCAGAGGUGAGUGGAAUUCCGAGUGUAGAGGUGAAAUUCGUAGAUAUUCGGAGGAACACCAGUGGCGAAGGCGGCUCACUGGGCCAUUACUGACGCUGAGGUGCGAAAGCGUGGGGAGCAAACAGG
rnacentral:rRNA from 1 species